GUGUUGUUAAAAAGGAGAGAAGGUUAGCACUCCCCUUGAUAAGGACGGAAGAGGUCUUUGACCUAACCAACACAUAUAGGCACUGCUACCUACUUUGUAGCAGACUUAUUUUU